rnacentral:rRNA from 1 species
UACGUAGGGGGCAAGCGUUGUCCGGAUUUAUUGGGCGUAAAGAGCUCGUAGGCGGCCUGGUAAGUCGGAUGUGAAAGCCCGAGGCUCAACCUCGGAAUUGCAUUCGAUACUGCUGGGCUUGAGGCAGGUAGGGGAGGAUGGAAUUCCCGGUGUAGCGGUGGAAUGCGCAGAUAUCGGGAGGAACACCUGCGGCGAAGGCGGCUCUCUGGGACGGUACUGACGCUGAGACGCGAAAGCGUGGGGAGCGAACAGGAUUAGAUACCCCGGUAGU